GUGUCCGAUCCUCCACCUGUAGAUAAAACAUUGUUAACGCUGGCAGAUGAAGCGUGGAAACGAGUGAGACGCAUUAUUACCCCCAGCUUUAGUGCCGGAAAAUUGAAACAGAUGACCAAACAAAUGAAUUCCUGCGCUGAACUGCUCGUUGCUGGCCUUCUAGAAAAGGCAAACUCAAGGGCUGUCAUAGAUCCAAGAGUACAUUUUGGCUGCUACACCAUGGACGUUAUCGCCAGUACCGCUUUUGGAAUAGUCACUAACGCCUUCAAUAACCCCGAC